rnacentral:rRNA from 1 species
GACGAACGCUGGCGGCGUGCUUAACACAUGCAAGUCGAACGGUGAUCUUGGGAGCUUGCUCCUGGGUGAUCAGUGGCGAACGGGUGAGUAACACGUGAGUAACCUGCCCCUGACUCUGGAAUAACCCCGGGAAACCGGGGCUAAUACCGGAUAUGACAUCAUCCCGCAUGGGUGUGGUGUGGAAAGUUUUUUCGGUUGGGGAUGGGCUCGCGGCCUAUCAGCUUGUUGGUGAGGUAGUGGCUCACCAAGGCGACGACGGGUAGCCGGCCUGAGAGGGCGACCGGCCACACUGGGACUGAGACACGGCCCAGACUCCUACGGGAGGCAGCAGUGGGGAAUAUUGCACAAUGGGCGGAAGCCUGAUGCAGCGACGCCGCGUGAGGGAUGACGGCCUUCGGGUUGUAAACCUCUUUCAGCUCUGAAGAAGCGAAAGUGACGGUAGGAGCAGAAGAAGCACCGGCUAACUACGUGCCAGCCGCCGCCGUAAAAC